UGGGCCUGUAGCUCAACUGGUUAGAGCCGUCCGCUCAUAACGGAUUGGUUGGGGGUUCGAGUCCCUCCGGGCCCACCAU
rnacentral:tRNA from 1 species